AUUGAACGCUGGCGGCAGGCCUAACACAUGCAAGUCGAACGAGUGGCGGACGGGUGAGUAAUGUCUGGGAAACUGCCUGAUGGAGGGGGAUAACUACUGGAACCGGUAGCUAAUACCGCAUACCAUCAGAUGUGCCCAGAUGGGAUGAGCUAGUUGGUGGGGUAACGGCUUACCAAGGCGACGAUCCCUAGCGGGUCUGAGAGGAUGACCAGCCACACUGGAACUGAGACACGGUCCAGACUCCUACGGGAGGCAGCAGUGGGGAAUAUUGCGCAAUGGGCGCAAGCCUGAUGCAGCCAUGCCGCGUGUAUGAAGAAGGCCUUCGGGUUGUAAAGCACUGUCAGCGGGGAGGCGUUACCCGCUGAAGAAGCCCCGGCUAACUCCGUGCCAGCAGCCGCGGUAAUUC
rnacentral:rRNA from 1 species